GUGUCAAUGAUGAAAUAUUUGCCUUUUCUCUAGAGAGGUGUUGUCUUGAGAGUCUUGCACAAUAGAGUUACACUGAGGAC
rnacentral:snoRNA from 1 species